rnacentral:rRNA from 1 species
AUUGAACGCUGGCGGCAGGCCUAACACAUGCAAGUCGAACGAGUGGCGGACGGGAGAGUAAUGUCUGGGAAACUGCCAGAUGGAGGGGGAUAACUACUGGAAACUGUAGCUAAUACCGCCUACCAUCGGAUGUGCCCAAAUGGGAUAGUCGAGUAGGUGGGGGAACUGCGCACCGAGGCGACGAUCCCUAGCUGGUCUGAGAGGAUGACCAGCCACACUGGAACGGAGACACGGGCCAGACUCCUACGGGAGGCAGCAGUGGGGAAGAUUGGACAAUGGGCGAAAGCCUGAUGCAGCCAUGCCGCGUGUAUGAAGAAGGCCUUCGGGUUGUAAAGUACUUUCAGCGAGGAGGCGUUACUCGCAGAAUAAGCACCGGCUAACUCCGUGCCAGCAGCCGCGGUAAUUC